ACUCCUACGGGAGGCAGCAGUGGGGAAUAUUGGACAAUGGGGGGAACCCUGAUCCAGCCAUGCCGCGUGUGUGAAGAAGGCCUUAUGGUUGUAAAAGCACUUUAAGCGAGGAGGAGGCUACUGAGACUAAUACUCUUGGAUAGUGGACGUUACUCGCAGAAUAAGCACCGGCUAACUCUGUGCCAGCAGCCGCGGUAAUACAGAGGGUGCGAGCGUUAAUCGGUAUUUACUGGGCGUAAAGCGUGCGUAGGCGGCUUUUAAGUCGGAUGUGAAAUCCCCGAGCUUAACUUGGGAAUUGCAUUCGAUACUGGGGAAGCUAGAGUAUGGAGAGGAUGGUAGAAUUCCAGGUGUAGCGGUGAAAUGCGUAGAGAUCUGGAGGAAUACCGAUGGCGAAGGCAGCCAUCUGGCCUAAUACUGACGCUGAGGUACGAAAGCAUGGGAGCAAACAGGAUUAGAUACCCCUGGUAGCGACUGA
rnacentral:rRNA from 1 species